GGGGAGAUACUCAAGUUCGGUUAACGAGGACAGACUGUAAAUCUGUUGGCUCAGCCUUCGCAGGUUCGAAUCCUGCUCUCCCCA
rnacentral:tRNA from 2 species